rnacentral:rRNA from 1 species
AAGAGACAGCAGUAGCCCGGUAAUACAGAGGGUGCGAGCGUUAAUCGGAUUUACUGGGCGUAAAGCGUGCGUAGGCGGCUUUUUAAGUCGGAUGUGAAAUCCCUGAGCUUAACUUAGGAAUUGCAUUCGAUACUGGGAAGCUAGAGUAUGGGAGAGGAUGGUAGAAUUCCAGGUGUAGCGGUGAAAUGCGUAGAGAUCUGGAGGAAUACCGAUGGCGAAGGCAGCCAUCUGGCCUAAUACUGACGCUGAGGUACGAAAGCAUGGGGAGCAAACAGGAUUAGAUACCCCCGUAGUCCCUGUCUCUUAUACA